CAGGGUGGAUACCUAUACAGACCCUCAUUCUUCUGGCCCGCACCCCCUCCAAACCCACAGGAACUUCCACCUCCAUCUCAAGAGCUACCUUCUGAAGGAAACUAAAGAAGAGGAAGCCCUUCAGAUCCCUCUGCCACUGGGACAGCAUGGCCAUAUCUACCAUGUCCCCAGUACCCCAAU